UGAGGAGUACAAGCAUGAUCAGGUUUUAGGAGGAAGAUUCUGUAAAAGUACAAAACACUGUCCCAUUUGUAGGAUAAAUCCCCCUUGCCUUCUGAAAGCUAAACAUAAUUGAUUCCAAGGGCAACAAUUCUCCAAUCAAAUUCAGCGGGAGCUACCUCUACCACCCAGUAAAUAAAGAAGACCAUUUACAUCUGUCCUCUGAUGCUUUGGAUCAGCCAAGCAGUUCCACCUUCAUAAUUCUCAUAGCUGAAGAAUUGACCCAUUGAAAUGUUUGGGACCAAUUAGACUGUAUCUCAAGCCAGAACUACUGGCACUUUGUGCAUUCCCAUAAAUUGUUUCAGUGUAAGUUUUUCAGUCUGACAUUUCCUUUAAAUUCAGUACAAUUUUGUGACAUACUGUACAGACCUGGAGAAGUAAAACUUCUUUGGACUUUGAA